CCUACGGGUGGCAGCAGUGGGGGAUAUUGCACAAUGGGGGAAACCCUGAUGCAGCGACGCCGCGUGAGUGAAGAAGUAUUUCGGUAUGUAAAGCUCUAUCAGCAGGGAAGAAAAUGACAUUACCUGACCAAGAAGCCCCGGCUAACUACGUGCCAGCAGCCGCGGUAAUACGGAGGGGGCAAGCGUUAGCCGGAUUUACUGGGUGUAAAGGGAGCGUAAACGGUUAUGUAAGUCUGGAGUGAAAGCCCCGGGCUCAACCCCGGGACUGCUUUGGAUACUGUAUGACUGGAGUACAGGAGGGGCAGGUAGAAUUCCUGGUGUAGCGGUGAAAUGCGUAGAUAUCAGGAGGAACACCGGUGGCGAAGGCGGCCUGCUGGACUGAAACUGACGUUGAGGCGCGAAAGCGUGGGGAGCAAACAGGAUUAGAUACCCUAGUAGUC
rnacentral:rRNA from 1 species